AUGCGGCUCUUCGACGGGUUCUACUCCUCGUCGGCCGAUCUCUCCUGCAUCAACAGGGCGCACAUUGUGCUGCUGCCCAAAGGCGAAGGUGUUCUCUCGCCCGCGGGCUUCCGGCCGGUCUCGCUCCAGAACUGUGAUGUCAAGUUGGUAUGCAAAGCCCUGACUACCAGACUCCAGCAUCAAAUCCCGGGGCUAAUUGACCCCGACCAGUCCGGCUUCAUCAAAGGGAGAAGCAUCUCCGAAAACUUCGUCUACGCUGUGGAGAUUGUGCAAUGUUGUGACUCCAGGAAGGCACCCUCGCUCGUCCUCAAGCUUGACUUCGCGAAGGCUUUCGACUCCAUCAGCUGGCAGAGCCUUCGGAGGAUCAUGGAGGUGCGGGGGUUCCCUGCGCGCUGGUGUGACUGGAUGGACGCCAUUUUCCGCUCCUCCAUGUCAGCGGUCCUUCUAAACGGGGUCCCCAGGCGCUGGAUCACGUGUAAGAAGGGGCUGCGCCAAGGCAACCCGAUCUCCCCCUACCUCUUCCUGCUUGUGGCGGAUGUGCUGCAACGGAUGAUCCAGCAAGACAGGGGGAUGGCGCACCCGCUGGUGGCUGGUAAGCCGCCGCUGGUGCUCCAGUACGCCGACGACACCCUCAUCAUUCUCCGGGCGGGGCUGGGGGCGGUGAGGCGGUUGAAAAGCAUUCUCGAUGCUUUUGCGACGGCGACGGGGCUUGUCAUCAACUUCCACAAGAGCACGGUUGUGCCCAUGCACGUCUCCGAGGGUGAUCUCGAGGACAUGGUUAAUGUCUUGGGCUGCCAGGUUGGGAGCUUCCCUCAGGUCUACCUUGGGCUUCCACUCUCCAACCGCAAGCUGACGAUGGACGACUUCCUCCCUCUCAUCGCCAAGGCCGAGCGUUACCUGUCCGGAUGGCGGGCGCAGCUCCUCUCCUUUGGGGGUCGUCUUGUCCUGCUCAACGCCGUCCUCGACUCGCUGCCCACCUACACCAUGGCGGCCAUGGAGCUGCCGCCGUCGGUGCUGCGCGCUCUGGAUGCUCUUCGACGUUCCUUCCUGUGGGCUGCUGCGGAUAAGGCGUCGGGGGCCCAGUGCCUUGUUGCCUAG
rnacentral:rRNA from 1 species